rnacentral:tRNA from 1 species
GCCAUGGUGGUGGAAUGGUAGACACCGGGGACUUAAAAUCCCCUGCUAGCAAUAGCGUACGAGUUCGAGUCUCGUUCAUGGCA